rnacentral:rRNA from 1 species
GACGAACGCUGGCGGCGUGCUUAACACAUGCAAGUCGAGCGAGGCCCAUCUUCGGGUGGUGCCCUAGCGGCGAACGGGUGAGUAACACGUGGGCAACCUGCCCUCAGCUCUGGGAUAACUCCAAGAAAUUGGUGCUAAUACCGGAUGUGACCGCUGACCGCAUGGUCUGGUGGUGGAAAGAUUCAUCGGCGGAGGAUGGGCCCGGGGCCUAUCAGCUUGUUGGUGGGGUAAUGGCCCACCAAGGCGACGACGGGUAGCCGGCCUGAGAGGGUGACCGGCCACACUGGGACUGAGACACGGCCCAGACUCCUACGGGAGGCAGCAGUGGGAAAAUUGCGCAAUGGGCGAAAGCCUGACGCAGCGACGCCGCGUGAGGGAUGACGGCCUUCGGGUUGUAAACCUCUUUCGGUAGGGACGAAGCGCAAGUGACGGUACCUACAGAAGAAGCACCGGCCAACUACGUGCCAGCAGCCGCCGUAAAAC